UACGUAGGGUGCAAGCGUUAUCCGGAAUUAUUGGGCGUAAAGAGCUCGUAGGCGGUUUGUCGCGUCUGCUGUGAAAACUGGAGGCUCAACCUCCAGCCUGCAGUGGGUACGGGCAAACUAGAGUGCGGUAGGGGAGAUUGGAAUUCCUGGUGUAACGGUGGAAUGCGCAGAUAUCAGGAGGAACACCGAUGGCGAAGGCGGCUCUCUGGGACGGUACUGACGCUGAGACGCGAAAGCGUGGGGAGCGAACAGG
rnacentral:rRNA from 1 species